rnacentral:tRNA from 2 species
UGGGGCGUAGCCAAGUGGUAAGGCAACGGGUUUUGGUCCCGCGACUCGAAGGUUCGAAUCCUUCCGUCCCAG